UUUUUGAGAAUUGUUGAUGUUAGCUUCUUCUCCCCAUGACUUUAGCCAUGUGAAAAUAAAUACUUCUGUGGGAUAGAGAUGAAUCUGGGGAAUCAGUUGUGAAAUCAACUUGAGAGGCAGAGGAGUUGAGAGCAAGUAUACAUUGAAAAACUGUAAGGCUGGACCAGAUGCCACGAGAUCAGAGAUGAGAAAUCAGGAGGGUCAGAGAUAAGAAAGGCUUGGAGAUGACCACAGAAAGCAGAAAGACUUGCUGCCAAACCCCGACUUCUCACCAAUUGUACUGAUGAAGCAAUGAAAAUCACCAUCUCUUCCACCUAUAGAAUGCAUAGUAUAUUUAUGGACACAUAGUGUAUGACGUGUAUAGAAAAAUAUCAUUCAGUCCUUGAAAUCAACAUGCAAGCUAUGCUUCAGUAUGAUCAUAUACACUUUUAAAUGAGCCAUAUUCUUCACAGCUAAUUGGUGGGGCCAGAGAAGUGCAUCAACAUGCUAUGGUACUUUGUCUUCUUCCCAGUUUGAGUCCUUACUGGGUAUUUAAGCUGACAAUGUGAAUGUGGCAAGUCUCCGGAUUUCAGCUGUGCUGGCAGCGGAGGCCACUCUGAGAGAUGGGCAAUAUGGCUUCUGUGUGUGCCCUUCAUCAGAGCAAGCAUUAAAGGAGAAGAGUGUGUGGUUUGCAACCUUCUGUACCUGGUGUGUAUUGCUUUCCUGCUGAGGUGUGUUGGGGCAGCGAGGUCUGAAUUUGGUGUAUUGUCAAGGUGGUGAAGUGUGAAUCUGGUGUCUUGUCAAGAAAAGAAAGAUAUUUUUGCAAAAUGUUUUCACAAAAUAAAGUCUUAGAUAAACUCAAACACAUAUUGCAGGUUUUUUUUUUCUCUCAAGUUUUUGAAUGGCAUCUUAAGGUCUUUAUUCCUAUUAGGAAUUUCACAUCUUAAAAUUUUUCACGCAGUGGCUUAAGGUAAAAAUUGAAGUCUCUGAAAUGAGAAAUCUUUGCAUUUAACAUUUUUGUUUUAGUAAGGAUUGGUUCAUUUGAAACAGGUGUUCCAAUUAUUUUGAGGUAUAAAUUAGAUUUUAUCUUAUUUUACUGAUGCAGUAGGCAUUGCUUUUAUAUUUUUAAACUAAUUCCCUGUUGAUCAACAUUGAAAUACUUGGUUCACCAACUGUGAUAUUAGGCAUCAAUGCAGCAUUAAUGAAUUAA
rnacentral:lncRNA from 1 species